CUUUCCUGCCAAGGUCCAACUCAGGAAGCUUUGGAAAUAAGUCGGAUGCUGAAGGGGCUCCCAAACCCCACCCCUCCCGCUGGCUUCAGAUGUCACGUGCAUCAACAUCGCUCCAUUCUGACUUGAUGAGAAGUAAACGUUGUGAAUCUCAGCUACUAAGACAAAUUGAUGCCAACAAAAUACGAAUUUAAUCUCUUAUUUGCUUUUUAUUUUUAUUAUGGAAACUUUCCAACCUCCAGCAAAAUGCAGAUCGCAGCCUAACGAGCACCCACACACCCACACACCUGGAUUUCAGCCCCCAAGGGUGUGAUCCUCAGGAGAGCAGGAACUGUGUGUGCUGUGCUCACAGGUAGUAGAACCCCAUCAGGACCUGUUGAACCAAAGGUGUCUCUGCUCCCUACUUUGCCUCGGGAACCCCUGGGGCAUGCAUCCGUCCAGGAAUCGUUGGACAGGAUCCCCCCAAACCCCCCGCCUGGGGCAGUGCUGGGGCUUUGGUCCGGAUGACACGUGGCUCAGAGAAACAAUUGAACCAGGGAGAGAAGGACUCCGUCCAGUCCAAAUACACUUUUUUUGCAAAGCCAAAGCAGCGACGCCCUUCAAGAUGCUGUUCCCUUUAAGAUCUCACAAACGGAGUCUGCAAAUAUCUUCUCCACCGUUGUGCGUGAAGACCGUUUCACGAACCAACGAAUGUGCUGAUUCCAGAGCCUGAGGUACAAAUGGCGCCUGGUUUUCCCAUCGUUAUCCUUUCUGCUAUGAGCAGUUUGAACCUCUCCAGAGUGAUCCGUCCAUCACAUAACAGCUCAGAUCAGGUUGGCUUUCUGAAUGCAAAACCCACAGCUACAACAGGAAGUGGCAUCGUUCACGGGACACGACAGGGUUCCCUUCUCUCCCCCCCACCCUCUCUCUCUCUCAAUCUCUCUCUCCCUGCCCUCCUGGUGGAGAGUGGUACUUACAU